GUAGGGGAUUUUAAGUAUUUGAGGGGUAGCCAAGGAUGCCUAUUCUCCCUACUGUUAAGUAUGAAAACACGCGCGUACACACACACACACACACACACACACACACACACACACACACACACACACACACACGGCACUCGAACGUUUUAAAGCUCUGUAGGACAAAUUUGCUUCAGUUCUCAUUUUUUGAGCAAUAUUAAAUAGGUGUGAUUGUGUGGGAUAGAACGAACAAGAAGCUGGGUGAGAAAGUCAUGCCUGUGGUGACUGAUUUCGACAGAUCUCGAAGGGAUGGCACUGAGAGGAAAGAGGAUAUUGAGGUCUGGCUACGCUGGGGAGGGCGGGGUGUCAAUAGGAAUAGGGCAAAGUGAAUACAGAUAGAAAGUGAGAAGAUGAAGUUGGAGGGGAAGUAAGACCCCAAACCAUCUGCACCUUGCAGACGGGACUUUGAAUUCUCUUCCAAAUGCUAGGGAGUUCGUGCUGGCGAGCAACGGGGGUAUGGUUUACUAAGAAAAACGAUAACCACUAAACGCUCUAUUUUUAAGGGCCACUGUCCCUGCUUAGAAGGCAAUUUUACAACAAUGGCGACUGAUUCUAAGGUCUUUGUGAUACUUUCAUUCAAGCAGCCCAGCAGGAUACCUGGAACAUCUAGUGCCUUGUACUUCAGGUUGCCUUUUGUUAUAGCCAAGGAGCCUUAAUUGGAUAUAGUUUGCCUGCAAGUUCCAUUUGCUGUGGUGCUGAUCUUGAUUGUUAGCCUGAUUGGAUUAUUCUUCGCCCUGGAUGAUUAAUAGAGCACACUUGUAAGUGUAUCUGCGAUGACGCCUUCAGAGACAGAUGGAUUGCUCGCAAUAGAUUCAUUACACAGUAUGGCAGCAUUACUAUAUGGAAAUGAAAGGUAGGCGAGGCCUGCUGGGAAGAAGUAGGUCAUGGGUGUGUCUUUAGCUGACAUUUCUUGCCCUGGCCCCUGCUUUCACUUUUCUUCCUGGAGGAGCGAUGGGAACUCUCGCACCAUGCACUCCUGGCCAUGAUGGACUGGCAUCUGUGCGUGAAACCCUCUUUCUUCCCCUUUGAUCUGACUCCCAGACAAAAGUAACUUAUAUGGCCCUUUCCCACUAAUGACCAGAAUACUUCCAUACUAUCAUACUAUCCCAUUUAUUGUCCUUCUGACGGAGGAAGUCCCUUUUAGUGAGAGAAGUGGGACAAUAGCAUCUCUGCUCGUACGUGCGCAGAAGACUGUUGUGAAGUUGCCAUCUGCAGCCUGCUGUAAACUAAGCAUCCUAUGAGCGCUGUGGCACUGACACUUAAAGAGGCAGUUACAGUUGUCUUAACUGUAAGACGGCGGGGCAGUUCUCAACCUUCCUAAUGCCGAGACCUUUUAAUAACAGUUCCUCAUGGUGUGGUGACCCCCAACCAUAGAGUUAUUUUCAUUGCUGCAGCAUAACUAGAUUUGCUACUGUUACGAAUCUUAAUGUAACUAUUUUUUCUGGAGAGGUUUACCAAAGGUGACGUUUAGAACCGGUCAGUCAAGGACAGUGACUCCCUAUUCAUGCUAGACCAGAGAGAUGAGCGAGCUUCAUUGGUAAAAGUUCUGCAACUGCAAAUGUAACAUAGAAACCAUGACAGCAAUAUUGACUGUCAACUUCCUGGGGAUUAGAGUCACCUGGGAGGCAGACAUCUGUGCACAACUUUGAGGUAGUUUCUAGAUUGGGUUAACUGAGAUGGGACAGAAAAUGUGGGUUGACACCAUUCUAUACACUGGGAACCCUGGCUGAACAGAAGGGAGAGACGUGGCUAGGUACUAGCGUUCAUCUUUCUCUGCUUCCUGACUGUGGAUUUAAUGUGACUUGCUGCCUUGUGUUCCUGUCAUACACCCCCCCACCAUCAUAGGAUGUGCCCUUACACACCAUAAUAAACAGCCCAGAUAAACCCUUCUUUCCUUCCUUUGGUUGGGAAUUUUGUUGCAGCCUUGAGAAGAGUAAUUAGUACACAGGCUACAAUAAUUACAAGCUGUUCCAGUCAACAAUGAAAUAAGACUGAAAUCUAAACGGACAGGUUGGCAUUUUUAAUAAUUUAAUAUCACAGUAUUUUUUAGUAACUUAAAAAAAUCUACAAAAAUGUAUCCUUUACUACCGGCAUUUUAAGACAACAGCAACUGUCACAGUAAGUCUGACUCUAAGAAACUUAGAUCUUCAAAUGAAGCUACAGGAAUGUGCUGGCUCCUCUAGCCUCCUGUAGUCCUGCAAAAGAUGGGAAAUAGGAUUGAAAUCAUGUCACACCAUUAAGUAUAGUUAUUUCUGCCAGUGGUUAGCUUUUCUGUGCUGGUGAGGAUCUGCCAUGCCAGUUAAAGCAACGAGGCUUUUUGUCUCACACCAAGUUAGAGACCAGGGAACUGUUGAUGUGAGAGCUGCCCCAUUCCUCAGGGGCCCUCCUCUGUGUUGAUAUGCCCCAUUACCAUAGACAGACCUCCCAUUACGCCAGCUGAGCGGUAAACAUCUUAGCAGAUAGCAUGCUGCUAAUAACACAGCUUCAUAAGCCCAGUCUACUCCCCAGCCCUUACUCCCAGGCAGACUUCAUGACAAGAGUCACUGAACAGUAGCUAGGCUGGUUCCCAAGAGAUAGAGAGUGGUAGGGGAAGGUUCAUACUCAAAUUCCUGUCUCUGUGAGCUUCCCCAACAAGCUGAUGGAGUUCCUCAAAUGACAUUAACUGACAGCCUAGGAAAGAACUACGGCAUUUCUGGAAAGUCCUCAGUAGAGCAAACGAUUCCUAAGGUGAUCUGUUUUCAAGGACAAUGUCCGCAGGCUUCAGAUCUGGUAGAAAGAUGAGUUAGGUUGCUUUCUUGCUGUACCUUUGGGGCAGAAUCUGAUACAAGAGAAACAUGGGUGCUGUAGAGGGACAGCCCUGACUCCCUCCUGUUUAGCCAAGCACAGUGGAUGCUCAUCACCACCACAAGCUGCUUUUCCUUGUCUGUUUUCCUCUUCUUUAGCAUACAGUCCUACACUGUUUGGCCACAAUCAGACCUGAGCGAAAUCAACAGUCUAAAGAUUCCUGAAUUUGGAGUUUAAAUUUAGUAACUGGGUUUUCGACUACCGAGGAUGGAUUGCAUGUUUGUGGUAGUAUGUGGGGUAGCUGACUGAUGUUAAGCAGAACUACAAUGGUGAGUACGUACGCACACACACACACACACACACACACACACACACACACACACACACGUGAGUGCUCACACACCUUCUUGUCACAGUAUGCACUGAGAAGACACCUUUCAUGAGUGAGUUCUCUUCUUCCACCAUGUGGGCCCUUGGGAUUGACUCUAGGUUCUUGGGUUUGGUCAUAAGUGAUUUUACCCAUAGAGCAUCUGACUAGUUUAUUGGAAUCUUAUUUUUUAUUUUAUGGAACUCUUCUCUUGGAAAAGUGUUCAUCUAUCCUUUAGGAACUUCUCACUUCUGGUCCCCAGCCAAACAAUCAGUCAGCAAGAACUUCUCUAAUAGACAGAGAAGCAGGUUUCUGGCCUGAGCUGGCCAACUAGAUAGACCCGUGUAGGCCUGGCUUUCCUAGAAUUCACUGUGUAGACGAGGGUGGCCUUGAACUCAGAGGUUCACCUGCCUCUGCCUCUGCCUCUGCCUCUCUGCCUCUGCCUCUCUGCCUCUGCCUCUCUGCCUCUGCCUCUCUGCCUCUGCCUCUCUGCCUCUGCCUCUGCCUCUGCCUCUGCCUCUGCCUCUGCCUCUGCCUCUGCCUCUGCCUCUCUGCCUCUCUGCCUCUGCCUCUGCCUCUCUGCCUCUCUGCCUCUCUGCCUCUGCCUCUGCCUCUGCCUCUGCCUCUGCCUCUGCCUCUGCCUCUGCCUCUGCCCUUCCCACUGUCCCCGCCCCAGAGUGCAUUAAACAUGUGCACACCCACUGCUUUGGCCUCUUGGCUCUAUAUUCAUUUGAUUCCUAUUUGGUGACUAGUCUAGCCCCUACAGUUAGUUAGCUGUCUGUGCUUGGUGUCACAAGGUUGGGUUUCUGUUAGUUGAUAAUGCUGCAUAUACUGAAGUAAAGUUUUCUUUUACAUUGUGUUCCCCCACGAGCUCCUAUAGCAUAGAAGGCCUUGUUAGACUCCAUGUUCUGCAGCGCAGGUGACUUUGACAGCCCUCUCUAUGGGUCUCAGGGACAGCAGCAAAGUCUCCAAGUUAACCAAAUUAAAACAGAAUUUGUUUGGUCCAACACAUCAAAAGGGAUAAAGCUGGGCUGGAGAGAUGGCUCAGUGGUUAAGAGCACUGACUGCUCUUCCAGAGGUCCUGAGUUCAAAUCCCAGCAACCACAUGGUGGCUCACAACCAUCUGUAAUGAGAUCUGAUGCCCUCUUCUGGUGUGUCUGAAGACAGCUACAGUGUACUCAUGUGCAUAAAAUAAAUAAAUCUUUAAAAAAAAAAAAGGGAUAAAGCUGGCAUGGUGGCAUCUGUCACCUUCACAGAGCCUAAACUAGGAGACUCGCUUGAGUCUAGGAGUCAGGGAUAGACUGAGUAACUUAGCAAGACCUUAUCUUGCAAAAAACAAACCAACCCUAUGAUUAAGAGAUAACGGGAAUGUGCUAAAACUAGUUGCUAAUGAUUUGACUGAAGGAUCAACAAUUUGGAAGGACUGAGAUGAGACUGGGAAGCAGAGCAAGGAAGCCUGUUAAGAGGUCUAUGGGCAUUUCUGAAUGGGUACACGCUGUAAAAACACGCACUCCGAACACCUAGUACAGAAGAGACUGUUAGCCACACUAGGGCACACUAGCCAGCUGAUGGUCAGUAUCUUUUUCCAGCCACCUCACAGCUCAACCACGGACCUUUAAGCAGAAUGGCUAUGGCAGUCAGGAAGGAGGCCAUACCUGUGCUCAGCAGCAUGGACUUUCCCUUAGCAGGGGUCACCUUGGCAACACUACUGCCAAGUGCUUAAUCUGUCGAGAGCAGAGAGCAGCAUCGAGUCUCUAAUAUGGCACCAUUCCCAGGUGCCAUGAGCUAGCCAUCUGGUGGCAGGUUGAUUAUACUGGAUGUCUUCCAUCGUGGAAGAAACAAAGAUUCACCCUUAUUGGAAUGAUCACACAUUCUGGAAACAGUUUAGCUUUUACUGCCCGUAAGGUUUCUGCCAGUUCUACUGACUGUGAGCCCACAAAAGUGCCUUAUCUGCCAUCAGAGCAUCCUAGUCGACGCCGCCUCUGAUCAGAGAGCUCCUUUCAUAGCAAGGGAAUUAAUUGGGCUGGCCACACACACACACACACACACACACACACACACACACUCUCUCUCUCUCUCCGCUGGGAAGCAUCUGGCUUAAAUGGAUGGUGAAAUGACUUAUGGAAAACUUAGUUAUGAUCCCAGCUGGAGACGGGACCUUGGAAAAUGAGAUCCUCAAUUCAGCCCAUGUCACGCUGUCUGUCCCAUAAAAAGCAAUGUUUGAAUCAAGAUGUGGCAGCGACGGUGGCUUAUAUUCCAGUAUCAUCUAACGAGCUCCUCAUUUCCUUCUCUGCCUGGGAACCUUGGCUGCCGUGGGUUCAGGGAAGAGGCCCAAGGGGAGGCCGCUUCUGUCAGAUGACGCAACACUGAUUACACGGGACAGGAAGACUACCACCUGGCUACUUUGGGUUCCUUACACAAUGAACAGAAAAGGGAAAACAGGAACUAAUCUACGAGAUGAUGUGAUUUAUCCCAAUUUCAAAGAGGAAGUUUGCCCGCUUCUAUGCGGUGGAGGCAAGAGGACACUCCGGGGCAUCAUAUUAGUACCACCAAUUAAUAUGGGAGUCAGUGGAAAGUGACAGCAGCUAAAAUAAAGCACAAGGUGUCGGAGGACCUCACCCUUCCACAAAUGGUUUGUGCCACUUCACCAGGAAAACAAGUUCUGGCUGAGGGCAGGAGAAAUACAGCGUGGCCAGGAGGAAAAGCAUGUCAUCAGAGAUGGCCUCCCUAGUCUGAGCUGAAGAAACAGACGCAGAGAUGUCCUUGUCACUCUGCUGGUGUUUCCCUCUGUGCGUCUUACCCCUCCACGUUCAAGUUGCUCACUGUACUAGUUUCCCUGAGAUUGAUAUACCAAAGCACCACAAAGUGGUUUAGAAAACAGGGAGAAAGUGCACUGAUUCUGGAAGCCAGAGACCUGGAAUCCUGUCAGGUUGACUCCUUUCACAAGGAGCGGGGGAGGGUGUAUUAUGGGCCACCUGGCAGCCCUUGGCAUCCCUGGCUUGUGACAGACCACCUCACCGCCCCCCAUCUUUGCAUCUGUUUUUUUUUUUAAUCCCCUCCUCCCAGAAUGUUUUCCUAUGAAGACACUGCCGUUGGCUUGAGGACUUAACCGUUACAGGGUGAUCUCACAUCAAGAUUUCAUUCCACUUUCAAGGUUCCUAUUUCCAAAUAAGCUUCCAGCCACAGGUUCUCUGGGUUAGGAUUUCAAUACAUUGUUUAAUGAGGCUGUAGGCACAUUUGAUUUAGCUGUGGAAGGUUUCUUCAGGAAAGGCAUCACCAGAAUAACUAAAUUUCCCUUUGUGUUUUCUGAGACGCAGUCUUACGUCACCCAGGCUGGCCUCACAUUUACUAUGGAGCCAAGAAUAACCUACAAUUGCUAAUCCUUCUACCACUGCCUCCCAGGGAUGGGGUUAUACUUACGAACUAUCAUACCAGACUUUUAAUCUUUAUGUUUUUACUCUGCUAGUUUGAUUGGAUUUCAGAAGGGCAACAAAGUAAACACUUGUUGUUAAGCCAAAACGUGCACUUGAAUAUUUUUUACAAAUUAAAUGUAUAACCAAAAUAAAGUUAAGGAUAAAUGCCAGAAUUUCUUUCUUUCUUUUUUUUUUUCUUUGACAAUGUUUCUGGUUGUCCUGGAACUCACUAUGUAGACCAGGCUAGCCUCAAACACAUAGUUAUCCACCUGCCUCUGUCUUCCAAGUGCUGGGAUUAAAGGUGUGCACCAUUACGCUUGACUUCAAAAGUACUUUCAAAUGCAUAAAAAAAUUAUUUUGAAAAUGCAUUUUACCCUCUAGUAGUUGGAAAAUUACCCACUUUAUUUCUAAACCAGAAACUCUGAUCAUAAAUCUUUUUUUUUUUCUUUCUUCUUUUUUUCAGAGCUGGGGACCGAACCCAGGGCCUUGCGCUUCCUAGGCAAGCACUCUACCACUGAGCUGAAUCCCCAACCCCCAUAAAUCUUUACCAAUGCUAUUAAGUUGGAAGAAAUGGACAGAGGUUGAUCUGAGAAGAGUCCUUGGUCUAUAAUGUUUGGAAGAAGGUUAAUUUUAGGUUUUCUUAAGUGACUCAAACCAUCUCUACCCACAAGAGAAAAAAACCAAAACAUGCUUAGAUUCCCGUUUAGUAGAAGGAUGGGGAAAACCCCUAUCACCACCAAACCAAUGAAAAAGGAAUGUGCAGAAGCCACGAGUGGAUAAAACCAACAAGGAGAGAAAGGCCAAGAAAGUACGAGGAAAGUGGAGAUGAGCGCUGCGUCCCUGUAUUAUAAAGUGGAGGAAGCUGAGGAGGAGGGCAAUCCUGUAGGAGGACCAGCAGUCUCAAGUAACCUGGACCCUAGAGAUCUCUCAGACACUGGACCUCCAACCAGGCAGCGUACACCAGCUGAUAUGAGGACCCCAACCAACACCAGCUCAUAUGAGGCCCCCAACACAUAUACAGCAGAGGACUGCCAGGUCUGGGAAGGAGGACUGGCUCAGUCAUAUAGAUUGCAGGCAAGCAUGAGGACGUGAGUUUGAUCCCCGAUGUUCACCUAAAAGCAGUUUGCCCUGUAAUCUCGGCCUUGUGGACAUGGAAACAGGAUCUCUGGAGCUAGUGUCCACCUGAAUCCAUGAACUCAGCGUUCAGAAUGAGGAAACGGGUCUUGCAGCUCUUGCCAAGAACGACUCUUGACUGGCAGAAUCAGGAUGCUGGUCCAGGGUGUUGGCUUUUUUCUUCUCAAACCCACAAAUUCAGAAACAAGGCAGAGCCCUGCAGCAGACGCAUGGGACUUGAGGAACAAGGCUGCCCCCGUGUGGUGUGAAAUAUGAAGAGAAAGGUGAGAAAUAGAAAGUCGUCAAAGGUGAGCUUCCAUCAACUGUAAUGUCAUUGGCAAAUUCUUUGUAAUUGGUAUCAGGCCCCAGUAACUGCAGAAAUGCAAAAAUCCAUUUUAGAUGACGCCAGAAACUCCUGGCACAACCACAAGAUGUAACUGUGGCAUAGCCUUCAAUUCCAGGAAGAGAGUAUAGAGGAUGGGCCUUUUGGUCUACAGAGGCUCCCUCUUCUCCUCCUCUAAAACCAGGCAUAGUUAUGCAUAAUUUUGUUAAGUAACAUAAUGCUAUAGGAUAUGCAAUUCUUGAAAGCCAUGGUUUUGUUUUUGUCUUUGCUUCCAAAACCGAUAUAGUAGAUGACGACUGUGGAGUGCAGUAUCAAGGUCUUACAUCCUCACACAGACCCUGCCUCAGAGCUGUGUGAGCUCUGGCUUCAGUGUAGCAGAACUGUGGACUCCCGUCUAUGUUUGUUUACUUUUGUUACUUUUUGUGGUUAUGUUUUGACACAUAGUCUCACUAUGAGGCCUGCCCAGGAGCUGCCUAAGCCUCCAGGGAGCUGAGAUUCCGAAGGCACGUUUUCCUGUCAGGCUUAAACCCGAAGUGGAGUGAAGAGAAAUCCAUUUCAUAAACAUACAUCCCGAGUAUGUAAUGGUUCUAGCAAGUUGGCUCAGGGUAAGGAGCACACAAUGGAAAACAAAAGCUUGUCGUAUAUGGGGUAAUAGUUCCAUCUCAGACUAUUGCAGAUGGCUGACAGAGUAUACACAUGUCUGCCCACCUUCAUUGGAAUUUGUAAGGACUGGAGGAGGGCACCAUAUCAGUGACCGCUCUCUGGUAAGUGAAAGGUUAGAGGUAAGCAUCCCUGUUAGACAGCCCAGGAUCCCCCUCCCCACAGGAUCCCAAUUUCCUCAGUGACUAAAUGGAGAUAGAAAAUGAACACUCUUUAUUUUAGGUUUUUAAAAUAUAAAACAUAGAAUAGCCAAAACCAAGUAAAUUGGUACCACAAACAAAGAGGAGCUCUGGGCUCGUGGUACUACCAAGAAACUAAGUAAUCCCUGGCUUCCGACCUAUGUGUAUUUCUCAUCCAUAGCUACCACCUAGGUAAUCACCUUGGUCACAUUACUCAGUGGCUUUAACCUUUAGUUUCUAAUCUUGAACAUGAAAUCUCAUUGCCUACGUUGUGUCAAAGGUUUCAUCAACGGUCACAGGGCAAUUAGCACUUGCUUAGUUCUCACUCUGAGAUUCCAUAAAUAUUAGGCCAGUAGAGUUGCCCAGAAGCAGUCGAAAUAAAUGUGUGUAUACCUAGACUCAGGGUGUCCACAACCAAGCGAAUGAAUUCACAAUGAAAAGCAGCUCCCCUAAAAUUUUAAGGUAUUUCCAGGUGAGACGUUAUCUACCACGUAAUAGUUGUCUCAAGGCAGUGCUAUAGUGGAGGUUCCUGGAAUUUAGAACAUCGCAAACCUUAUUGUCAGGACGAGAAACCCAGUCCAAGGUUGUUAAUACAAAAAUCUCGUGGAUCUAAGAUUCACUCUUUAGGAUGCAUCGCGUGCUAGCUGGAUGUCUUUGAACUUUGAACUUGUUUUCCACACAAGAGUAAUAGCUACAAUUCGUAUCAUGCUUACCAAUAUUUCACAGUGACUGCGAUCCCAGAGAUGUGGUAUACCAAAUACAUCAAUCACUACUUUUUUGUUCUUUUGAAAUUCUUGAUGUUAGUGGUGACGGCAAUGGAAACGCCCAGAGAAAUCCUGAGGUUCGGGAGCCUGAUAGUGAGUUUACAAGGCCAUUUGGCCUUCUCAAUAGAAAAAUAAGGACCCAGGAAGACAUAGGUAGGGGAGGUUCCGUUACCAGAUUGAUACAUUCCUGCUCUGGGGCAGAUCUCCGAAGUGGGGCUGUUAUGUCCCGCAGCUCCGUGCUACAGUUUGUCAGUAGAGGGCGCCAGAGGGACACUGCAAGAGAGAGCUGCUUUCUAACAGGCCCACAAGCUUGUUUGCAAAUCCGAGCAAGAUUGGCUUGCUCAGAAAAGAUGGGGUUGGCAGUGGCCAUUAGCAACUAGAACACAGCAUACACAGCAUUUUCAAAGUGGAGUUUGUCAGCCAGCCAUCUCCUCAGGUAGCCUCUCAAGUGUGUUAUAGGCAGCUUUUCAUCGAACCCAGAGGACAAAUGCCCCGUACUUUGCCACAGUCGUUUCCUAUGGGGCUUUAGCCCGUACUCUAGUGAGGUGUCUCCUGUCUGGGUACCAAUAGCUGAAAUUCCCAAGUCACUAGUUCCUGCUAGUGUGUGUCACUCUCACAAUACACGAAGCCUUUUGUCUGUCCAAAUGACCUCUGGAGGGGGUCUGGACCCAAGCUCUGGGGAGACAGAGUCCUUCCAAGGUUGUUGCCGCUAGAGGUGUACUGUCCCAACCCUACAGUGCUCCCUUUACAGGAGUUAAGUUUUUAAAUGAAACGUUCUUGUUCAAACUGCUCUCUAGUGGGACCGGAGGCUGUGAAAACCCAGUGAACUCUAUUCCACAACUGAAGAAUUUUUCCUGGGACCAUAUUUCCUUCACGGCCUACAUCAUCCGGAGAUACUCUGAAUGCUUAUUGAAGAUUCUUGUUCUUUUAUAUAAAUCACAUCCUUACUGUCAGUGUAUCCCUGGUUUGAGUGUAAAUACCACUGAACAGUGGGAUUGAUAUUGAUGGGGGCCUGGAAGUAUUUUUCUACAAGGCUCUUCUGGUAUUAGUUGAUUAAUUGCUACCGCUUCCGGCUGAGCAGAAAAGACUUCUUGGGCGGAAGUCACAUUUGAGUUGGACCUUCAAAAGGAAAGGAGUGCAAAUCUACAGCAUAACUACAAUCGUGGGACCCACCCAAGCAGAAGGAGAGAGACAGACACACACCCGUCUAUUUGGGGCAAAUGCCUUGGACACAGACAAAGUAGGAAUGUAGGUGAAAGGGAGACAGAGUUAGGGCUUGGGAGGGUUUGAACGCUGGGCACACAAGCGUGGGGAAGGGCUGAAUUCAUGAAGAUUUGGCUUUUGUGUAGAACAGAUUAAACUGGGACCUAAGCAAAGUCAUCAUAUGAACAUUACUACAGUAACCACGAUAUAAGGAAAUCUGAACCUACAACUGAAACAUGGGAAGGGUGAGGAGAAAGAGAAAAUCAGUAUAUAAAAAUAAUAUGUAGGAAGGUGGCAGUAAAUCCCCAGUGGGUGGCUGUGAGAGGUGAUCUUGACAAAGCUGGGCAUACAGCAUGUGGCAACAGGAACAGGGAGUCAUGGGGGAAGUAACAGUGUUGACUUUACAGUCUGGAUAGAACCUACUUUGAUGAAUAGAAAGUUCUGGGCCGGCAAGAGGGUUCAGCAGGUAAAGAUGCUUGCCACCAAGCCUGAGGACCCGAGUUUGACCCCAGAAUGCUUAUGUGGAAGAAGAGAGAAGACUCUGAAAGCUGUGUGUUCACAGGCACAGACUGAAUAAAUAAGUGGGACAGAUUUAAAAUGGAAAAUAAUUUAUAGUCAAUAGGAACCCCCUUGUUGAUAAUAAUCCAAGCACUCUUGACUCCCAUUCUCCUGUCUCCUGAGUAAGUGGGGUUCAGUAGGGGAGUUUAUCCUUAGUCCCCUAAAUGACUGCUUGCUGCGGGUUCCAUGCUAAGUCUGAGACACUGGACAGUGCUCUGAGCCUCAGAGUAGCAAUUCAGUAAUGGGGAAGGGAAGUGGAGAGAGAAGAUAGCUAUACGAAAAUAAUGCAUAGGAAGACCGCUGCAGAUGCCAAGUGGGUGGUUAUGAAACGUGACCGAGACCAAGCUGGGUAUGCAGUGCGUGCACUCUAGAAAAGCCCAGUCUUAGGUAUAGACACUUUACACUAUAUUGUAUGCCAAACCUCACUCAGGUCUGCUGGAAGAGGACCGAGAGCACACAAUUGCCUUCCUUGUCUCUCUCUCCCUUUUCCUCUUCCCUUACCCCUAGGCCGGCCUGCCGGUUUAAAUAGGGAAGGACGGGUCCAGACCUAUAGAGCAAGAGCCAGGUUGUACAAGAAUAAGAACUUAUGAUAAUUUGGUUGCAUGAUUGCUGGAUCUGCCGUUACUCAUAGCCAUUUUAUCUCUAAAACGUACGGUCGCGUGUCCCUGGCAGAUAGAAGACAUCACCUUAGGAGAGCGCAUUAGUCAACAUGGAUUGAACCCACAGUGAUUUCAUGCCAUCUGCCACCAAGGUGCUCUAAGCAUAGGUGAGGCUUCUUCAUCCCGACCUGCCACAUAGAAGAAGACCUCUGUGACCCCCACGAAGGCCCACCCCCUUUGAAGGAACAACAAUGGCAUUCUCUGAGGACCCUCACUCAUGUGACAGUGCUCUCUCUCUUUGCCCCUAUGAUGAGGGUGGGUGACACUCACAGUUCAGCCCCCAUCACAUAGUAUCUUCUUUCAAAAGCCUCUCCUCAACAUUUCACAUCUCCCACACUUUCCUGCCUUCCAGAGUCUGGCUUAGAAGGUUUAAAGGGCUCACUCAGUUUGGGGACCACCUUCUUUGUAAACACUUCAUAAGGGGCUGUGGUUUGAGUCUGGCAUCUGGCGUCACUGCCUCAGCAGAAACUUCAGUGUGAACAUUCUUGAACACAAAGACUACUUCAGUGACAAACUGUCAAGAGUUCUUCAAUAGAACACAAAGGAAGUCAAUGCUAAAACGUUGGAUUAAAAUUUGUACAUGAAGAUGUGUGUAUUAUAAAAGUAACAUACUUAAAUACUUAGAACUACAUAAAUUUAUGAACUGCAUGUAUGUGUGUGUGUUUAUUCUAACAUUUUGUUUGUUUGUUUUUGACUUUUAGAGACAGGGUUUUUCUCUGUAACAGAACGUGGGGUGUCCUGGACUCAUUUCACAGACCAGGCUGGCCUCAAACUCACAGACAUCUACUUGCAUGGAUACACAGGCUGGUUCUAAGAAGAUUUAGAGACGUGGUAUAUUGAUUUCCUACUGCUGUUAAAACAAACUUAGCUGCUUAGAUGGACACAAACCUGCUGUCUUGCAGUCCCAGAGGUUAUAUCAAGUGUCCCUGGGAUGACCCUCCUUCUGGUAGCUCUAGGGAAGACUGACUUUCCUCUUCUGGUCCUGAAGACUGCCAGCGUCAUUUUCGAUGUUCACGUUCAUCUGUGGGAUUACUUUUGUACCUUUCAGUGGCUGCUUGCACAAGUCACUCUCAUAACUAUCCAGAAAGGCUCUUGUCUCCCCUCUUCCAGGGGGCAGGGCUUUUGUGGCUUCAUUAGUCCCAUCUAACUAUUUUAAAGUUGGCUGUAGACGAUGAGUAGGCUUAAUUCUCUUUCAUUGUGUGUAUUCAUCCAGGGUUUAACAGAGAAGCAAAACCGGUAGGAGACACAUCUUAAGAGAUUUUGUUGUGGAAAAUCGGCUGACCCGGGUUGUCAGGAUGGCCAGGAGGGCAUGAAGCUUAGGCUGCCAUGGUCACCUGAGGACAGGCACAGAGCAAAGGAUAAUGUAUGCGGAUUUCCAUAUAGGUGUGGCUGGAGGAUGCAGCCAGUAGGGGGCAGUGUGCUAAAGGGUGAAACCUCCAACUGUGGAGCCCAGGAGUAGGGUCGGAACCCCAACUCUGACACCUGAUGGGGUGAACCAGGCAACACAUUUAGGGCUUUUAAAUCCCUAUCUUUCCUCUCUUCUCUUCCUCCCUUUAUCUUUUCCCCUUCUUUUCUUCUUGAAAGGGUCUCCUGUAAGCCCCAAACUCUGAACUUGUUUUGUAGCUGAGGAUAACUUAGGACUCCGGAUCUUGCCACGUUCACUUAGAAGGUUCUGGGGUGAACGAGCAUGUCAAAAUCAUUGUUAUUGUUGUUACUUUCUUUCUUGAGACAAGGUUUCUCAGUGUAGCCCUGGCUAUCCUAGACCACGCUGUAGACCCGUAGACCAGGCUGGCCCCCGAGAUCCACCUGCCUCUGCCUCCCAAAGGCUGGGAUUUUCAGUGUGCACCACCACCACCACCACCUGGUUCAUUUUUACUUUUGUAAACCAAAGAGACCUGUUUUCCAGAUUUAAAAUUGUAAUUUAUGUCAGAUAUAUUUUAGGUUGAUAUUUUACGCCAUUCCAUUUAGAAGCAUUGGUUCAAUAUUUGCAAGCACACUCUUCAUAGCUCCUUCAGACAAUGUAACCACCGGAGUAACAAGAAUGGACUCAGACAUGGGCAUCUCCUCUGAAUUCAUGCUUCUUAGCAACCCAGGUUUUCCUUGGUCGUCUGGACUAGGCACUGCUGCUAAUGUAGGGAUAUGUCUUUGCCCAUUAAUGCUAUCUAAUUGGAAAUUGGAACUGUGCGUUCAUUAUGCAUUCUUUGUUCCUUUUCACGUGGUCUACUUCAUCACAUAUUCUUCCCGGUUGUUACAUGUAUGAAGAACGCACUCUCUAUUUUUCUGCCACUAAGUAGCAAUUCUAUAAUAUAUGGACCUGGCGGAAUCUUCUCUCUGAUCACUUGUUAGUUAAAAGAUGUCCAAGUUGUUUCUACUUGGAAAUUCCAAUGAAUGAGUUGUUGUAGACAUUCAGAUGUGGUAUGUAUGUGUGUGCCUCUGUGUGUGUGCAGUGUGUGUGUGUGUGUGUGUGUGUGUGUGUGUGUAAAUGCAAAAGUCCCCCCUCUCCACACAAAGGUCUGAAAAUAUGUUGUAGUUGUGUGUUUCAUUUUUUUUUUUUAAAAAAGAUUUAUUAUGUGUAUAGUAUUCUGCCUGCAUAGCCAGAAGAGGGCCCAAGAUCUCAUUACAGAUGGUUGAGAGCAACCAUGUGGUUGCGGGAAUUGAACUCGGAACCUCUGGAAGAGCAGCUAGGGCUCUUAACCUCUGAGUCAUCUCUCUAGCUUCGUGUGUUUCAUUCUUAAGUAAUAGAUACACUGUUUCUCAGAGUAGGGGAACCACUUUAUAUUCCUUUCAGCAAAGUGUCAAUGACCCAGCCACUCUGUAUGCUCAAUAGCACCUGAUAUUCAUUCAUUCAUUUUGCUUUGGUUCUUCUGCGAAGUAUAUAAGUUCAUUGUGGCUUAAUACUUCACACUUUCCAAAUGGGUAUCAGUGUUUAACCUUUCUCUCUCUAAGAUUAUUUGCCAUUUGUACUCUGCUUCAGUUAAUGGGUUUUUCUCCAUGCUGUGUCUCACUGAACUGUCUGCCUGUCUGCUGUCUAGCUGGGUGUGUGCAUAUGUGUGUGCACAUGUGUGUUUGUGCACGUGUAUGUGUUUACACGUGAACAACAGAAGUCUAUAUCUCACAGACACUUUCUGGUUUGUAGAUGGUUGUCUCCCUUUGACAGGCUGCUCUUGGAAGGUCUCUUAAAAAGACAGUCUCCUGGUUAGCAUUAGUUGUCUUGAGCACUCAGAGUUAUCUGAGUGUCUAGCCCAGUGUGGUGAUGCCAUCCUGGGAAGGGGGACUGGAACUGUAUAACAGCAGGAGACGACCACAAUCCUAGGAGCAAUUGGCAUCCCUUCAUAGUCUGCAUCAGUUCCUGCCUCCAGGCCCUACCUGGAGCUCCUGCUCUGGUUCCCCUCAAUGAUGGGCUGAAAGAAACCCUUUUCUUCUCCCAGGUUGCUUUUGGUCAUGUUUAUCACAGCAAUUGGAAGCAAAGUAGAGAAGACAGUAAUUCUACCCUAGGGAACUCUGCCCUAGUGACAUGAUCAUUUCCCCCAAUCUAUACCUUGCGAACACUACCACAAUGAGGAUUGGUUCUAACAUCCGACUUUGGAGGCAGUAAAUAUUUAUUAUAUAGAAAAUAUCAAGUUUAAGAAUCCUCUAGAUUUCCUUAGAGUUCACAGGUGUUUCUCCUAUCCAUUGUUUUCUAAUAGUUUGAUAUGUUAUAGGUGAGUCAAUUCUUCAUGUUGAACUUAUUUUUGUAUAGGGCACCAUCCACUGAAGGAAAAGACAUGUUUGCUCCACUAAAAUUUUUUUGGGAUUUUAUGAUAGAAAUUAGUUACGGAUGUUUCUGUGAAUUUACUUUUGGGUCCUAUAUUCUUUUCCAGUGACCUAUGCAUCCAUCUCUUUGCUAGCUCACGCUCUCUGGGUUACUGUCAUGUGUGUAAAGGUUUUCACACUCUCUUGUUUACUAUCAUGUAUGCAAGUCAUUUAAACUCUGGGUUACUGUCAUGUAAGUUGUUCACACAAUUGUGUUACUGUUACAUAUGUAAGUCAUUCAUACUCUUUGGGUUACUGUAAUGUGUGUAAGUUUUCCAUACUCUCUGGGUUACUAUCAUGUAUAGAAGGUUUUCAGACUCUUGGAUUACUGUCAUGUGUGUAAGUUGUUCACACUCUGGGCCACUGUCAUAUGUGUAAGGUUUUCACAUUCUUGGGUUACUGUCACUUAUGUAAGUCAUUCGCAAUCUCUCAGUUAAUGUCAUGUGUGUGAGUAGUUCACACUCUCUGGGUUGUGUCAUGUGUGUGAGUAGUUCACACUCUCUGGGUUGUGUCAUGUGUGUGAGUAGUUCACACUCUCUGAGUGACUGUCAUAAUAACAGGUAAGAUAAAGCCCGGUGUAACUAAUUUAUAUUAGUAUUUUAUUUAUGUUCCUGGGGGAAAUCAAGAAAGUAUCAGGAAAAAAAAAAACCUCAGAGAACUGACUGUCUAUAGUUUUGAACAAAUUCAAGGAGUCAUGUAUGAGAGAAGAUGUAACUUUUUAAAAAAUAAUAAUUCCAAAGAAGAAAGUCCAUAUUAAUACUGUGAACUCAGUGAGGAAAUAACUCAAAAGGCUGGACAUCCUGUGGCAGGCCUGUUGAGACUCAGCCCCCCUCCUCUGCCUUCACUCCCUGGGAACUCUGCAGGUCCUCCAGGGACCCAGCCUCCCCUCUAUACCUAGAGGCUCUGUCUGGGACAGGCAGGCUUGGGAAUCAGGUAUGCCAUCUAAACCUUCAUUUCUUUCCUCCAAUGCAAAUUCCCCAGUCUCAUCUCCCAGGCAGUAGCAGUCUGCUGGCUCACAGAGCUUGCCCUCCUUUGCCUCAACUCCCUCAGGAAGCCACUGAGCCCGGUGGCAGAUCCAUCUUUCUUCUUCCCUUGGGUCCUCUCAGCCUCCCUCUUCCUGCCCCACCCCUCUGCUUCCAGACAGUCCCUAGUAACUUGAGACACUUUCUACUUGGGAUCCGCAACCCCCUGGCCUCAACUAGGGGUUGGGGACUUCAGAAACAAUUCCUACCAGGCAACCCAUAGCCACUACAGUCCCCUGAGAUCCGGAGAGGGCAAAACCAAAAUAAAACAAACACUAAACUUCCCUCCCCCACCCACAAAACAAGGAACGGAACACACACACACCCAGCGAAGACAAGAGCAGUUAUCAACACCUAGAAUUACAAUAGUUCCAAACGCAGACACCUAGAUAUCAGAGUAAAAAUGUAAUCAGUAACAACCAAAAGGGUCUGUUCCCACCACAGCCCAGCAACACUGAACGGCAGGCCCUGAGAAAUGCGGGUAUAGCUGAAGUAAAAGACAAGGACUUCAGAAUAGCUUUUAGGAAUAUGUUCAAGGAAGGACCUAAACGGGGAUAGAAACGAAUCUGUUAAAACAGAGUCUGUGGAAACACAAAUCCUGGAAAUGACCGUUAAGACAUGAAAGUAGAGAAUCAUUAGAGAAAACCCAAGCUGAAGUAAAACUGGAGGAAGAGUUCGGGACUCUGGCUGGGGAAGCUAACUGGAGAUUUUCACCUACUGCUCCCCUCUUCCAAACCGGGCACUCACAAUCUGAGUUCUGCGGACCACCUGCUGAGGGAGGACUCUUUUCCCCCUCCAGCCCUGCCUCUUGUGGCUCAGCCACACAUCCUCCUAACUUCCUCCCCCAACUCCAGCAAACAAUGCGCAGGAACCUACAAGCUGCUUUAGACAGAGAAGCAAGCAGGCUAAGUGCAGACUUUCCUUUCUCCUCUGCUCCUCCAUGUUCGAUCCCCCGGUCUCAUCCCCAGCUCCUCAGCAGACCUUCCACUGUGGCCUCUCCAGACUCUCGGCCCUCAUUCCCAGGGAACUAAACAGAUCGAAUGAAUUUCCUGCUUCCUC